AACGCUAGCGGCAGGCCUAAUACAUGCAAGUCGAGGGRUAGAGGRAGCUUGCUUCCUUGAGACCGGCGCACGGGUGCGUAACGCGUAUGCAACCUACCUUUAUCAGGGGGAUAGCCCGGAGAAAUCCGGAUUAAUACCGCAUAAAAUCACAGCAUAGCAUUAUGCAAUGAUCAAAUAUUUAUAGGAUAAAGAUGGGCAUGCGUGUCAUUAGCUAGUUGGCGGGGUAAUGGCCCACCAAGGCGACGAUGACUAGGGGAUCUGAGAGGAUGGCCCCCCACACUGGUACUGAGACACGGACCAGACUCCUACGGGAGGCAGCAGUAAGGAAUAUUGGUCAAUGGAGGCAACUCUGAACCAGCCAUGCCGCGUGCAGGAAGACUGCCCUAUGGGUUGUAAACUGCUUUUAUCCGGGAAUAAACCACGAUACGUGUAUUGUGCUGAAUGUACCGGAAGAAUAAGGAUCGGCUAACUCCGU
rnacentral:rRNA from 1 species